rnacentral:rRNA from 1 species
UUUUGCGCAAUGGGGGCAACCCUGACGCAGCAACGCCGCGUGAGUGAAGAAGGCCUUUGGGUCGUAAAGCUCUGUCAACAAGGAAGAAAUUAGGAUCUAUUAAUAGUGGGUUCUAUUGACGGUACUUGUGGAGGAAGCGUCCGGCUAACUCCGUGCCAGCAGCCGCGGUAACACGGGGGGCGCAAGCGUUAUUCGGAAUUAUUGGGCGUAAAGGGCGCGCAGGCGGUCUUGUCCGUCAGGUGUGAAAGCCGGGGCUCAACCCCGGAAGUGCACUUGAAACAGCAAGACUUGAAUACGGGAGAGGAGAGAGGAAUUCCUGGUGUAGAGGUGAAAUUCGUAGAUAUCAGGAGGAACACCGAUGGCGAAGGCAUCUCUCUGGACCGAUAUUGACGCUGAGGCGCGAAGGCGUGGGUAGCGAACGGGAUUAGAUACCCCGGUAGUCCACGCAGUAAACGUUGUACACUCGGUGUGGCGGAUAUUAAAAUCCGCUGUGCCCAAGCUAACGCAUUAAGUGUACCGCCUGGGAAGUACGGUCGCAAGACUA